rnacentral:lncRNA from 1 species
UACGGAUUUAUCCCCACGUGAAUUAACGAGACGGCACGCACAGUUCCAGGAAAAAAAAGAUCGUUUAUAGGCCCAUAAUCCUUCUUUCACAGUACAACGCGACAGGAAGGGAGUCAGUCAGUGUAAACAGCAGGUCCAACAGGGAUCAUCGGCUACCACAGCUCAGCUGCACGAGCCGCCUGCUUGGGGCUGCCCAGCCGGAUCGGCAGGCCUGGGUUCCCGCGCUGCCGAGGGCCCCCGGUUUCGCCCGCGGUGCACAGCAUCCRGGCUCGGCGUCGGAAAACCAGGCUCUGCCUCGGAAAACCAGGCCCUCUCCUAUUCCCUGCCGCGGUGCGGUAAGGAAAAGGAGCAGCUGAGGGUUAAUCAGAGUUGUUUAUUAAACCACUCCUGMAUUUCAGCUUAGAUUUAUUCAUUUACCAGGAGUAUGCAAAAUAGUCCUGGUUAUAUUGUGUGUGAGACAUGACAAAGUUCACAGGUAUCCCAUCAAAUCAUUUGCUAACUUUAUUUUUUUUUUUUAAGUAUGAAGUUGAACUGCCACUGGCAUCAAAAGCUGAGGCUCAUAGUAACAUGUCGGUAAGCUGAAAAGACGGUGGGUAAGUUAUUAAAGUCUGAGGGUCAGAGAAAGAGAAAAAUGCAUUAUUAAGGGUUUGAUUUUUAAAGCGGAGGUAACGAGGGCCCAACGGGAGGGCUCGCGCCGGGAGCAGAGCCUGCAGCCGCGCUGCCCUGCUCCACCAGCACCGGCUUCUUGUAAAUUGAAUUCACAGUCGGACCAUACAGGAAAAAACAAGAGGUAGUUAUUUAUCAUACCUCUUCAAAAACGCAAACCUGAAACAAAAAAAAAAAAGGGUGGGGGGAUGUAGAAGUGAUGCAGUAAACCUAAAGUCAACACGUACCAACUUUUUUUUUUCCUUUUUUCUUUUUUAAACACAUGAAGUUAAGUUACAGACAUCAUAUAAAACACACGCUUUAUGGCGAUCCUGCAUAGCAGGAAACGAAGAGGCUAGCGCUAAUCCAACAGCUACGUUAACAGCUACAACUGCCAUUUAUCGGUGCGAGAAGAGCCUAUGCCUAAAUACAGAGAGUGUACCCCRUCGUGAGGAGCCCUAUGGCAACACCUACAGCUUGCUCGGAAGGAAAAAGAAAGUACUUUCUUGGGGAGAAACUGCCAAAAUAAUUAGUUUCACUUCAG